UUGGUUAUUGUCUUCUCAUAUUGACCAA
rnacentral:piRNA from 1 species